rnacentral:rRNA from 1 species
UACGUAGGUGGCCAAUUAAGUCAGUGGUGAAAUCCUGCCGCUUAACGGUAGAACUGCCAUUGAAACUGGUUGGCUUGAGUACAGUUGAGGUAGGCGGAAUGUGUAGUGUAGCGGUGAAAUGCUUAGAUAUUACACAGAACCCCGAUUGCGAAGGCAGCUUACUAAACUGUAACUGACACUGAGGUACGAAAGCGUGGGGAGCGAACA